GUCGUCAACCUACAAGCAUCAUGAAAAUCUCAGCUCUUGCCUUUUUCGCCCUUGUCGGAGUUAUCGGUGUUUGCCCUCGGUGCCGGGUACGGAUACGGCGGUUAUUCUGGCGGGUACACCUACAUGCCAGUAUCUGGUUACGGUCAGCAAGGGCCGGCGGAUUAGGAGAUGGUUCUUUCUUGAUGCUGAUCGGAUUCUUGUUCCUGAUCCUAAUCUUGUUCAACAGCAACCUGUUUAACACCACCUCAACAGCUACGACCACACCCAUCACCAUCCUCCAGGGUUAAAUAUGAUUUAGAGAAAGGCCAACUACAGAUAUUUACACCUUUGUUGGAUCCUAUAUCUUGUACAUGGAGAAAUUACUCAUUCUGUAAUUUGAUUGGUCAAAAAGUCAUGUAUUCUGUGAUAUCUAAAUUAUUAUUGCACUCAACAGAUAUGUUUUAUAUCAAAAACAUAAAAAUAAUAAUAAACUUAUGAAAUAUAA